UACGGGGGGUGCAAGCGUUGUUCGGAAUUACUGGGCGUAAAGGGUUCGUAGGUGGCUUGCUAAGUCAGACGUGAAAUCCCUGAGCUCAACUGGGGAACUGCGUCUGAGACUGGCGAGCUUGAGUGCAGGAGAGGAAUGCGGAAUUCCAGGUGUAGCGGUGAAAUGCGUAGAUAUCUGGAGGAACACCGGUGGCGAAGGCGGCGUUCUGGACUGCAACUGACACUGAGGAACGAAAGCCAGGGGAGCAAACGGG
rnacentral:rRNA from 1 species